GACGUAGGGCGCAAGCGUUGUCCGGAUUUAUUGGCGUAAGAGCUCGUAGGCGGCCUGUCGCGUCGGUUGUGAAAGCCCGGGGCGUUAACCCCGGGUCUGCAGUCGAUACGGGCAGGCUAGAGUUCGGUAGGGGAGAUCGGAAGUUCCUGGUGUAGCGGUGAAAUGCGCAGAGUAUCAGGAGGAACACCGGUGGCGAAGGCGGAUCUCUGGGCCGAUACUGACGCUGAGGAGCGAAAGCGUGGGAGCGAACAGG
rnacentral:rRNA from 1 species